rnacentral:lncRNA from 1 species
GAGGCCUCGAGGGUGGGGAACUCCUCCAUCCCACUCUGUCAUCCGACUGAUCGCCGAAUGAUCAAUAGGUGUUGCCGGCAACUGUAAUUGCUCGUUGGCUGGCCAACGAACACCACUCGAUCGACAGAGCUUCGUAACAAUUGUGCCAUAUGGAAUGGCACCAGUGGUUCCUCCCUGUAAGAACCUCAGAAUCCCCUGAUGAAUAACAUGUCCCAGAUCAAUAUACUUGCCCGAGACAAUCCCAAAGAGCAGAAUAGCUCUAUCCACUGUCACCUCAUGCCCAUGUGAAGAUGGCAUGAUGUUAGCACAGAUGAAGGCAUUCCACGCCUUCGCAUACCG